UGUUUCGGCUAGGGGGCCAUCCCGGCUUACCAACCCGAUGCAAACUGCGAAUACCGGAGAAUGUUAUCACGGGAGACACACGGCGGGUGCUAACGUCCGUCGUGAAGAGGGAAACAACCCAGACCGCCAGCUAAGGUCCCAAAGUCAUGGUUAAGUGGGAAACGAUGUGGGAAGGCCCAGACAGCCAGGAUGUUGGCUUAGAAGCAGCCAUCAUUUAAAGAAAGCGUAAUAGCUCACUGGUCGAGUCGGCCUGCGCGGAAGAUGUAACGGGGCUAAACCAUGCACCGAAGCUGCGGCAGCGACACUGUGUGUUGUUGGGUAGGGGAGCGUUCUGUAAGCCUGCGAAG
rnacentral:rRNA from 1 species